rnacentral:rRNA from 1 species
AGAUUAAGUUAUUAAGGGCGCACGGUGGAUGCCUUGGCACUAGAAGCCGAUGAAGGACGUUACUAACGACGAUAUGCUUUGGGGAGCUGUAAGUAAGCUUUGAUCCAGAGAUUUCCGAAUGGGGAAACCCAGCAUGAGUUAUGUCAUGUUAUCGAUAUGUGAAUACAUAGCAUAUCAGAAGGCACACCCGGAGAACUGAAACAUCUUAGUACCCGGAGGAAGAGAAAGAAAAUUCGAUUCCCUUAGUAGCGGCGAGCGAAACGGGAAGAGCCCAAACCAACAAGCUUGCUUGUUGGGGUUGUAGGACACUCUAUACGGAGUUACAAAGGACGACAUUAGACGAAUCAUCUGGAAAGAUGAAUCAAAGAAGGUAAUAAUCCUGUAGUCGAAAAUGUUGUCUCUCUUGAGUGGAUCCUGAGUACGACGGAGCACGUGAAAUUCCGUCGGAAUCUGGGAGGACCAUCUCCUAAGGCUAAAUACUCUCUAGUGACCGAUAGUGAACCAGUACCGUGAGGGAAAGGUGAAAAGCACCCCGGAAGGGGAGUGAAAUAGAACCUGAAACCGUGUGCUUACAAGUAGUCAGAGCCCGUUAAUGGGUGAUGGCGUGCCUUUUGUAGAAUGAACCGGCGAGUUACGAUUUGAUGCAAGGUUAAGCAGUAAAUGUGGAGCCGUAGCGAAAGCGAGUCUGAAUAGGGCGUUUAGUAUUUGGUCGUAGACCCGAAACCAGGUGAUCUACCCUUGGUCAGGUUGAAGUUCAGGUAACACUGAAUGGAGGACCGAACCGACUUACGUUGAAAAGUGAGCGGAUGAACUGAGGGUAGCGGAGAAAUUCCAAUCGAACCUGGAGAUAGCUGGUUCUCUCCGAAAUAGCUUUAGGGCUAGCCUCAAGUGAUGAUUAUUGGAGGUAGAGCACUGUUUGGACGAGGGGCCCCUCUCGGGUUACCGAAUUCAGACAAACUCCGAAUGCCAAUUAAUUUAACUUGGGAGUCAGA